GGAGAAGUGGCAGAGUGGUCGAUUGCAACGGUCUUGAAAACCGUCGUACCGCAAGGUACCGGGGGUUCGAAUCCCUCCUUCUCCG
rnacentral:tRNA from 1 species